rnacentral:lncRNA from 1 species
AUGCAGAAAUGUAUACAUACUAGCAAAGAAACGAUCAUUUCUAAAAUGUUAUCUGUUUUCACCUUCCAGGCUGUAUUGUGUGCACUUAUUAUUCUUGGAGCUGGUGGUGAUGUGACAACGAUAAAUGGGAAUGAAUGCGACUAUGUUAUUUUUGACCCUGGCUAUGUCCAGUUGGAGCAUCCUUCUCAGAUCAGAUGGUACAAGGGAGGCACGCUCUUAAAGCAGGGGACACAUGGCAGCACUGGGUACGGCCAGUGGCUUUGUGUCUUUCGUAACGGGACACUGGGGCUCCGCGUUGUUGGGAAGGAGGAUGCAGGACAGUACACAGCUAAGGUCUGCACCAGCUCCCAGCACUGCGUUCACCAAAGGACAUUUCAGUUACAUGUACAUGGAUACCUUGUCAGAGGGGUUGUAGGUGACUGCGUUGCUUUUCCCCUGGCCUGCCUGCGGUCAGCUGGGUACAUCCAUGCCAUCUGGAAGAAAGACGGACAGCGAGUGGCUCAGAUCAGAAGGAAAUCGGUGAACGCCUUAGAUGUCUACUGCAAGAGGGCCCAUGUGUUCUCCAACGGCAGCCUAAGUCUUUGCCCCACGGAAUGGAGAGAUCAGGGAGAGUAUGUAGCAGAAGUGUAUCAUCAGGAUGGCUUGCAUUUGCAUCAGAUUUUUCACCUGGAACUGAAGAAAGUGGAAAUACUUCAAGAUAUCACAGAAUUUAUGGGUGGAUCCAUAUUCCUGAAUCUAACAGAGAUGAUGCCGGAACACUUCUUCCAGGUAGUCUGGAAAAAGGAAAACACGGAAGUGGCUUGGACAAAUGGCUCUUGGUUUUGGUACCAUGGAGAAUACAUUAACAGGUCUGAGAUUGUGUCUAGUCACAGCCUGAGACUAGACAAGAUUGAGACAAGUGACCGUGGCAGGUAUUCUAUAGAAGUGAAAGACAGAGAUGGCAGAGUUGUGUACGAAGGCAUCACUAAUGUGAAUGUUGGUGAGUAUUGCUAAAAAAUGAAAAGCUUUCUUGGGUCCAGACUACAGACAGAAACCUGUCUGUGUAUUGGGUUAUGUAAGAGAUUGGGUACUGGAUUACCUACUGGAUUAUGUAAGAGAUGGCCCCAAAUGCACGAGCAGUCAUGUAAUUAGCAGAGAGAUGAAGCACAGACUUCCUGGGGUAAGCCUUGCUGGGUAAAGCUGGGCGUUCUUUUGCCAGUGCCUACUUCAGCCAGAGUGGCACAAGAUGUCGUUUGAGUUCUGUUACUCCGCUGUAUCUAGGAAAUACUGUGAGCUGUGAUAGAGGAAUGAGUUUCGGGGGGCCAGUAAAUGCUGUAUCUUUAAAUGAUUGCUGGUUUAAAUGUAUCAGAAGGGCUUUCAGGUGAAUUUGAGUUUAUGACUGUUCCCCAACUUGAGAACAGGUUCACCUGCACAUCUGCAGGGGUUCCUGUGGUGGGGAAAGCAGGAAACUCUCAAUGCAAUGCUGCUUAUGAUGAUGGUUUUGUUCUAAACUUCACAGCUUUUGUGAUGGAGAAACUGAACCAGAGGGAUAUAGGGAGACUCACAAGUUUAAGCGAGGUGUGUUGCAGUAGCAAACAACCUAGCAUGUGAAAAUAGCAUGCCAGCUAUUAUUACCACUACACCUUAUCAAUUUCUCAGUUGGUGGCAUAAGACAAAGAGCAGCUGGUGGCAGGUUGGCUGAGGUCUGUCCUAAUGCCUUGGAUUAGAGUGUCCUGUAUACGCCUUGUGAAAAGCGACCGCUUGGUUGCAGAUCACUUAAGGAAAGUCAGUAGGACAACCUCUAAUUUUAGAAGUCAGCUUUCUGAUAUUGUACUCACAGGUCAUAAGAAAAAUGAUUAAGAUCACAAAAGCUAGUGGUGUAGCUUCAACCUGCUGUACUGUAAAUGUUUUGACAACUAAAUUUUAAUUGUAGAGCAAAAGGACACACUUGGAAGAAAUCCUUCUCUUUAUGUUCUCAUAGCAUCGGCAGCUGUUAUAGUUACUAUUUUAUUGGUUGCACUGAUAAGGGGUUUUCAGAAGCCCGGGCACAGGACAGGUAAGAAAUCUCCUUCAAAACCUAAAUAGCCUAUUUAAAUAGUAAUUGAUGCAUAGAUCCAGUUCUCUGCAUUCAGGAGAUAUCUGACUGUGGGUUUUGGUGUGAGUUUGGUUCAGAGGAGCAGGCUGCAGCUUUACAUCGCUGUCAGUGCUGGUGACAGCACAUGGCUCUGCUGUAGGGACUGACCGCCUGAGGCCUUUCCACACUGAUGGGAGGAUUUUCAGCCCUGCUUGCCAAGGUCCGGUGUUGAGAGGCUGGUCCUGUGUCUGCAGGGUGGAUUUGUGGCAAGGCUUUAGGAGGUUGUGGCAGCUGCCGUUCUCCUGUUUGUGUGGUGUGUGGUCUGCUGAGAGCUGUGUUAUUAUUUAUUUAUUUAUUUUUCCUGUGGUGGGACAUUGACUGGUAGGAUAGGGCCUCAUAUCUCUGCUUGUGGGACUUGUGCCCUGCUGAACUCCCCUGGGUUUGGUCACUUCUGGGAGCACAGAGUUGGUGAGUGCAGGCAAGGGGAGGGACCCAUGUUUCCUCCUGAGCCGGUGAGCUGGGGCUGAAACCAAGGCAACCUUCCCAGGUGCCUGGCAGUGUUGCACAGUAUGGAUGAAGCUGGUUGCUGCUCCAUGUCCCUGUUAGCUCUGAGGCAUGUGUGAGUUUUUACCUCUACCUGAAGAUUUUUUGUUUUCUUGGUUCUGAGUAGCUCACCCCCAAAUGUGGGCAAGAUGGGAUGGAGAAUCUCCUUUCCCUGCUGCAAUGCCUAAUGGUAGGAGAGGGUGGAAAAGGGUGGUCUCCUGACAAGAAGCAGUUAUUGCCCCGCAGUGCUUUGCAGUCGAAAUGCAAAGUUGGCCCACCACAUAGGUAAUGAAGACAUAAGGUAGUUUGUCCUGUCUGGUAGGAAGGGGUAGGUAGUUACUUGAAAGGCUUAAAAGCUGAACAGAGGGGGAGGACUUCUCAGAAUCAUAACAUGGCUUGCGUUGGAAGGGACCUUAAACAUCACCCAGUUCCAACACCCUGCCAUGGGCAGGGACACCACCCACUAGACUAGGUUGUUCAGGGCCUCAACUAACCUGGUCUUGAACACCUCUCUGGGAAACCUGUUCCAGUACUUUACCACCCUUUGAGUGAAGAAUUUCCUCCUAUCCUCUAAUCUCUACUAAGUGAUAAGAUAUAGGGAAUUGAGCUAUAUGCAGACUAUGAAUUCUUUGACAGCUUUCUGCAAAUGCUUCAGGUAUAUUUGUCUGCUUUUAACUUGACUUGGUUUAACUCCUGGUUAGCAGUGCCAGUCCUACAGCAUUCAAGCUUGAGACUAAGAGAUGAUAGAGACUAUCCUGAGCAACAAGAACGGUCUGAAAAUGGUGAGUAUAUUUCAUUAUGUGCCUUCCUAUGGGUCACAGACAGGGAUCUAAGAGUGUAAUGUGGCUUGUCUGAGUUUGGGUUCAUGAGGCAUGAUUGUCUUAUGCAAGCAGAGUACUGUAAUCAAGGGGAACUUUUUCUAACAUAAAAACAUCUGAAAUUUGAAAGAUCCAAAGACAGCACUUUGAGCUGCCGACAGCAUUAAUACUAGGAUAAUUACAUGUGUGCUGCACUAAGACUAUGCAGAUAAUGAAAAACUAUCUAGAUAAUGAGUUGUUUCUGCAAUCUCAGAUCCUUCUUCUGCCCAGCGUAGUGGGCUGUGUUCUCUUUAACGCUGUGCAAACUUGUGGAUCUUGGUAGCUCCUCACUGCAUGGGGACUGCUGGUGCUUUUGCCUGUUCUUCCACUUGCUCUGCACAUUUGUUAGGCGUGACACUUUUUGGGCAGAGGGGCUUGUUCAGAUCAUGUAGGGCAGGUUUCUCUCCUGUCUUAACUGCAGCGAUCCUUCCAAUUUGCUGUUGGCCAGCAGUCCUGCUCCCACUAGCUCAGUAUGGAGGGAAAGAUCCAUUUGCAUGUUGCUGCCUCAGGCAUGACUGGGAUAUUCUGGGUGUUCUCCAUCUGUCAUCGCUGGGUGUGAGAAAGUCCAGAGCUGGGGCCCGUGCCAUCAGAAAGAAGAGGUACAAACUGAGCCAGGGUUUGUUUGCAGGGCGAGGGGAGUAGGCACCCCAGGAAGGCAGCAGGACUGUGGUAUCCCAAGGCCCUUACCUGUCCAGGUAGCAGAGUCCCCUGCGGUGGGGUCAGUCUGUGCUUGUGGGUGCCCCUGUGAAGCUGCAAGGGAGCGUGCACUGUGAGCUCUAGCUUGGAGUGUCAUGGUGUCUCUGCUGGCAGCUGGCCACUUGGUUACAACUCAUGUAAAGAAAAUCAGUGAGACAGCCUUUAAUUUAAGGCAGUCCUGUUCACACGUGUUCUUUGACUGCUUCUGCCACCAGUGCCAGCCUUUGCCACUUGCGGCCCUGUCUCUUUCCUGUGUUGUCUUCACUGUCUUGCCUAGUUGUUGGCAUUGAGGAGAUUUCUGUUCAACUGACUUUUUCCUCCAGCUGAAGAAAGACCCAAGUUGCCAAAGCUGAAAGGCAGGAAAGCUGCAGAGCCUCGUACUUCAGUUCACGAAGUGUGUGGCGUCCCCAGCGUUGAGAACAGCAUCCGUCCAGCAUUUGAGGACUGCAUUCCACCCGAUGUUGAUUAUCCCGCUCCCCCGGUGAUUGACAGUGCUCCUGCAGAAUCUGAGGAGUUCCCUCUUCCAGGGUUUGAGGACUCGAAAGACAAAGACUGUGCUGUUAAGGACAAUGCAUACCAUGCAUCUUCAAGGUGCAAAGCAUCCUGGAAAUGCAGUGAAAGAAGCAAACCCACUGUGUAUGCUUCGAUCAGAACAGGGUACGCAGAGGACAAGCCUGGAGAUUUGGAAUUGAGUUCUUACUAUCAGAUUUGCCAGGAAACAUGUUAACAGUAUUAGACUGAGGUUUGGAUUCUUCCCUUCUCUCAGCUGGCUUUGAGCUAACAUUGCAGUUCUGCUGUUGCUCAGAUGAAUCUGCUGCUUCACAUGCUUAGAAGAAUUGGUAGAAGCCUGAAGAGAAGUGUCUCUGGGGAUUAGCUUGUUUUCCAGUGAUAAGCCCUUCUCUACCCUUUGUGCUUCGGAAGGUCUUCCAGGAGGACCCCUUAGAAACUCCUUGGAGAAGAGGCAUGGUAACUAACUGUGAGAGGAGUUGAGCUGAGCCUCUGCCUCUUUGCUUCUGUUAAAAGGCCCCACUGAAGAAAAGCAGGACCUUGGGGAUGUCCGGAGGCCAUGUCAGGCCCAGACCUCAGUCCCCAUUUGUUGUGUGGUCCAUGCACCUGUGUAAAUGCACAGGGAAGAGGAUGAACACCCUAACAGCUUGUUGGACGUGGGCAGCUUGCCAAGCCUUCAUCUGAUGUAUGAUGGUACGAAAGGUGCAGUGUAACUCAGUAGACUUGGAUGUGAUUUCACUGUAGUGUUUGCUAGACAGCACAUUAAGGAACUUUUUAUUUAUUUUUUUUUUUUUAGGAGGAAAAAAGAAAUGCAGAGAAACCAGAACAUUGCUAGCAAAGGGGUAUAGCCAUAUCUGUAAUUAACAAGGCUGUUCAUUAACGGCAAUUAGAUGUGCUUUCUUCAAUACCUGUAUUAAAUUGAAUCUCAAAUGGCGUGUAGUAAUUUUUGUGAAUGUUUUUUGUAUUACAGCUGUAAGGUGCUGCUUGUAGGUUUCAUGAAAUAUCUUUCCUUAUGGAAUGCCGAAUAAAAGUAUUUUCUCUUAUAACUGAAGAGCUGUU